rnacentral:lncRNA from 10 species
CCGAGGAGGCGAUUGCAGUGACGUCGGUGAGAGACGCAGGUCCUGAAAGCUGCUGUGCGACGCGGUCCUCGGACCUGGCCACCUGCCUCGCCCCGGCCGGGCCUGGCCUGCACUGGCCCGCACCGGCCCGCACCGGUCAGCACCGCCUCGCACCGGUCAGUACCGCCUCUCCGCUGUCCGCUCCUGCGCAGCCGUCCGCAGUUCCGCAUGCCACCGCCAGGUGUCGCUGCACACACGCCGUGGCCCCGAGGCUCCUCUGCAAGCCGCUCCGCGAGGCUCUAGGGGGCCCCCCAGGGUCCUGUUUCCCGCGGCCCGCAACUUAUCUGUGCACAGAGCACCCCCACGCUGCGCUAGGAACUUCCGCUGCUCCCCCACCACCUCACUCCUUCGUGCCUUUGAGCAUGCUGCCUGCAGUGCCUGCCCUGAUCUCCGGCUGGGUGAUUCCUGCUGCACGUCAAAACCCACUGGAGGCAACACCUCCUCCAGGAAGCCUUCCCUGAUGCCACUAUAAUGGCCCCUCUUGAGUUUCCACAGCCCCCUGUGUCUGCCUCAUCAUUGCAGUGAC